rnacentral:rRNA from 1 species
CCUACGUGUGGCAGCAGUGGGGAAUAUUGCGCAAUGGGCGAAAGCCUGACGCAGCGACGCCGCGUGAGGGAUGAAGGUCUUCGGAUCGUAAACCUCUUUUGCCGGGGAGCAACGGGCGCCACGUGUGGCGCCACUGAGAGUACCCGGAGAAAAAGCAUCGGCUAACUCCGUGCCAGCAGCCGCGGUAAUACGGAGGAUGCGAGCGUUAUCCGGAUUUAUUGGGUUUAAAGGGUGCGUAGGCGGAGCGUUAAGUCAGUGGUCAAAUUGAGGGGCUCAACCCCUUCCCGCCAUUGAAACUGGCGCUCUUGAGUGGAAGAGAAGUAUGCGGAAUGCGUGGUGUAGCGGUGAAAUGCAUAGAUAUCACGCAGAACCCCGAUUGCGAAGGCAGCAUGCCGGCUUCCUACUGACGCUGAAGCACGAAAGCGUGGGGAUCGAACAGGAUUAGAUACCCCAGUAGUC